AAAUUUCUCCAUGAUGAAUUGAAAGGCGGAAGAGUUCUUGAAGACUAUAUUCAUCACCCAAGACUGACAUGGAAAU
rfam:Musca domestica strain aabys unplaced genomic scaffold Scaffold20011, whole genome shotgun sequence.